rnacentral:piRNA from 1 species
CUCCACUAUGUCAGGAUCUUUGUUG